rnacentral:lncRNA from 1 species
UUUAUUUAUACAUACUGGGAAUUGAACUCAGGGGCACUCAAUCACUGAGCCACAUCCCUAGCCCUAUUUUGUAUUUUAUUUAGAGACAGGGUCUCACUGAGUUGCUUAGUACCUUGCAAAGUUGCUGAGGCUGGCUUUGAACUCGAGAUCCUCCUGUAUCAGCUGGGAUUACAGGCAUGCACUACUGCGCCCCACAAGAAUCUUUAUUUUUUAUUAAAGAGAAAAGUUUAAAAUUGUGAUUAAAAUAUACUAAUAUUAAAUUUACCAUCUUAACCAUUUUUAAGUGCAUGUUUCAGUGGCUUAAGUACAUUUACAUUGUUGUAUAAUUAUCAUUAUCAUGUAUCUCCAGAACUUUUUCCAUCUUCCAAAACUGAAACUCUAUAUAUUUAUUAAACAGCAGCUCCCCAUUCCCUUAUCCCUCAGCUCCUGUCAACACCCAUUCUUCUGUAGGUCUUUAUGAAUGUGCUACUCUAAGCAACUCAUAUAAGUGGAAUCAUGUAAUAUCUAUCUUUUUGUGACUGGCUUAUAGUCCUCAAGCUGGGUGCCAUGUCACAUGCCUGUAAUCCCAGCGGCUCGGGAGGCUGAGAUAGGAGGAUCCGAGUUCAAAGCCAGCCUCAGCAACUUAGCAAGGCACUAAGCAACUCAGUGAGACCCUUUCUCUAAGUAAAAUACAAAAAAGGGCUAAGGAUGUGGCCCUGAGUUCAAUCCCUGGUACCAAAAAAAAAAAAAAAAGAUAUUGUCCUCAAGAUUCAGCCAUGUUGUAGCAUGUGUCAGAAUUUCCUUCCUAUUUAAGGCUGAAUAAUAUUCUAAUAUAUGAUUAAUUGUUCUCUAAGGAAUUUGGACUAGGUCUUCAGUGUGUCAGGUGGUACAUUUGCACUCAUAGUUUUGAUAUUAUAUUAAGAUUUUUUGGAAGUUCUAGCAUCUUCUUGGAUACAGGGUUGGGUAGUAUAUGAAAACGUGAUACAUUUUCUGCCACAGCUGAGAAACAGGUAUAGCAAACAAAAAUUAAGGCCUAUCUGUUCAGUCAUUAGGUACCAUUUCAAUAGUUCCUCUUUUAGGAUCCAUUCUAUUGGAAACUUGAAUGUGGAUUGUACCUUUGACCACUGGCUUGUUCCUGAAAAUACCUCAAGUGCCACUGGGAUCCACAACCCUCCAUCUGAAACACUCAUUGUUUUGAUUUGGGUAUGGUUUGAGUGUAUCCCCAAGGAUUUCAUGUCAUGUAAUCUUGAUCCCCAAUGUGGUGGUAUCGAGGUGGUGGAACAUUUAAGAGGUGGGGCCUAGUAGAAGAUGGUUAAGUAUUAGGGGUACUACCCUUGGGAGGGUUUAAUGCCUUUUUCAGGGGUGAAUUACUUUUCUUGGAAAUGGGUUGUUUGGCUCUCUCUCCACUUACAUUUGGUACUGGGAAUUAAACUUUGGGGCAUUUACCAGAGAGCUACAUCCCUAACCCUUUUUAUUUUGAGACAGGAUAUUGCAAAUUGCUGAAGUUGGCCUUGAACUUGUGAUUGUGAUCCUCCUGCCUCAGCCUUCUGAGUUGCUGGAAUUAUAAGCAUGUGCCACUGCAUCUGUCUCUGUGUGUUAUUUCUUCACUGAUUGGAACCAGGGUGGGAGAAAGAGUGAGUGAAUAGUCAUAGUUAUUUUCUUUAACGUAUUUCAAAUAAAAAAGAGUUGGCAAGACCAUUCAUCUCCAAAAUUAAAGUCAGUUUCAAACUGAUCUAGGGUCUUAUCAUCUGGAAUCCUUUACCUUAAAGAUCACAUAGAGGGUCUGGGAUUGUCGCUCAGUGAUAGAUCACUUGCUUAGCACUUGUGAGGUACUGGGUUUGAUUCUCAGCAUUAUAUGUAAAUUAAAAUAAAGGUUCAUUGACAACUAAAAAAAUUUUUAAAAAAUCACAUAGAAUUAUGUGACCAUUUUACAAGUACAUAAUAUAAAAUCGAGAGUUUACUUAAUUUGCUUAUAAACCAAACUAUGUUCUAUCAAACCUUUCAGAGGCUCCCAGGUGAGAUCUUCAACCUUUGCUCCAUUUACCCUCUAGGAUUUAUUUCAGAUUCCAUGAUGGUCUGGUGGAAGAUGAGAAGAGACCCAAAGUCCUGAACUGGCUCAUCUCUCAUUUCCAUGGCAGGGGGAGGCUGAGAAGGGCAGGGGAAAUUAUGAAUCCAGUUUUCCACCAAAAAACAGUGCAGCUAAGGAUACUACUUGGUUUCACCUAUGCCAAAAGAAUAUUUGGAGUACCAAAUAAGGUAAAGAAGGUGUAGAUACUUGAGAAACUGUCUUCUUUAAACUUUUCUAUGUCAACCCCCCAUUUUUUCUUUUCCUUUUCCUUUUUUUGGAGUGCAGGUGCUCUAUAAAUGAGCUACUCCUUCAGGCCUUUUUAUUAUGAGACAAGGUCUUUUUGUUGCCCAGGCUAACCUUGAACUUGCCAUCUUCCUACCUUAGCCUCCCUAGUGCUGGGAUUAUAAGUGUGUGCCAUCACUUCUUGCUUCUCUAUUCCUUUUUAAAAUAUUUCAGUAGAUUCUCAUGUAAUCUUCUUGUUCUUAAGUAAUUAUUUUUCUUUUGAACCCUGUAGCACUUUACCACUGAGCUACACCCCUCAGCCUAUUUUAUUGUUUUAUUUUGAAACAGAGUAUCCCUAAAUUGCUGAGUCUCAUGAGUUGCUGAAGCUAGCCUUUGAAUUUAGGAUCAUCCUGCUGCAUUCUGCCUCAGGCUUCUAAGUCACUGGGAUUACAGGUAUGUGUCAACAUGCCUAGCUUCAUAAAUAAUUUUUUUUCAUAAGUAAUUUUUGAAAAUGCAGUUUUCUUUAAAAAUAUUUUUCAUUAGUGCCUUAUAGUUAUACAUAACAUUGUGGUUCAUUUUUUAAACGUUUUUUUUUUUCAGUUGUUGAUGGACCUCUUUACUUUAUUCAUUUAUUUAUAUUCUGUGCUGAGAAUUGAACCCAGUGCCUCACACCUGCUAGGUAAGUGUUCUGCCACUGAGCUACAACCUCAGCCCUCAUUUUGACAUAAUUUUACAAGUAUAAAAUAUAAGUUGCUCUAAUUCAAUCCCCAGUACUUUCCUUUUUCUUCUCUCCUCCCUUGCUUUGUUCCCUUUCCUUUACACUGCAGACCUUUCUUCUGUACAGUUUUUUAAAAAAAUUAGUACAUUAUGGAUAUACAUUUAUUAAUUCUUGGUACAAUUCCCUGAACUUUAGGGAUCCUAUUGAGAAAGUUGUUGCCUUGGCCUGUGUGUUGGAGUGUUGAGCCAACACAUUUUCUUCUAGCAGUGGCAGAGUUUCUGAUCUACUUCUUAGGUCUUUGAUCCGCUUUGAUCCAGUUUCAUUUUUCUACAUAUGGCUCUCCAUUUGUUCAAAAGACUAUCUUUUCUUCAGGGUAUGUUUUUGGCAAUUUUGUCAAGUAUGAGAUGACUGUAUCUAUGUGUAUUUGUCUCUGUGUCUUCUAUUAUCUUUCAUUGAUCUUCGUGUCUGUUUUGGUGCCAAUACUAUGCUUUUUUAUUAUUAUAACUCUAGUAUAAUUUGAAAUAUGAUAUUAUGAUGCCUCCAGCAUUGCUCUUGCUCAGGACUGCUUUGGCUAUUCUGGGUCUCCUGUCCUUUCUAAUGAAUUUUAGAACUGUUUCUUCUAGUUCUUUUCAGUAGUGAGGAUUGAACAAAGGCGUUCUAUCACUAAGUUACAAACCCAGCUCUUUUUUGAGUUUAUUUUGAGACUGUGUGUGGGGGGGGGUCAUUCUUUUUUAAAUUUUUAAAAAAUUUUUGUUCUUAAAGUUAUACAUGACAGUAGAGUAUAAUUUGACUUAUUUAUACAAACAUGGAGUCCAUCUUAUUCUAAUCAGGAUCCCAGCCUUGUGCUUGUACAUGAUGAAGGAAUUCAUUAUAGUGUAUUAAUUUAAUUUUUUAAAAAUUAGUUCUCAUUAGUUAUACAUGAUAGUAGAAAUCUCUUUGAUUCCUUGUACAAAAAUGGAGCAGAAAGUUUUACUUCUCUGGUUGUACAUGAAGUAGAGUCACAGCAUUAGUGCAAUCAUACAUGUACUUAGAGUAAUGAUUCGAACUGUGGUGUAUUCAUAUAUGUACAUAGGAAAGUUAGGUCCGAAUAAUUUCACCAUCUGUCCUCCCUCCCUUCCCUUAAUUCCCCUGAGACAGUAUCUUACUAGUUGCUGAGGGUCUUGCUAAGUUGCUGAGGCUCAUCUUGAACUUGUGAUCCUUCUGCCUCAGCCUCCUGAAUUCAGGAGGUUACAGGCAUGCACCACCAAAUCAGAUUAUUUUUUCUAGUUCUGUAAGAAAUGUCAUUGGUAUUUUGAUGGGAACUGCAUUGAAUCUUCAUAAUGUUUUUGUUAGUAUGACCAUUUUGAUGGUCAUGCAGUAUUAAUAAUCCUGCCUAUCUAAGAACAUGGGAUAUCUUUCCAUCUUCUAAUGUCUUCUUCAAUUUCUUUCUUCAGUGUUAAUUUAUUUUUCAGCAGAUUUAUUGGAGUAUAGGGAAACGAUUUAUAUAUUUAUCUUGUACCCUGCUACUUUGUUUGUCAGCUUAAGAAGACUUCUGGUGGAGUUUUUUGGGGUCUUCUAAAUAAUGGGAUCAUCUCAUCAGCAAAUUGAUAAUUUGUCAUCUUAUUUUCCUAUUUAUAUCCCUUUAAUUUCCUUCUCUUGUCUGAUCAUUCUGGCUAGAGUUUUAAGGAUUAUGUUGAAUAGGAGUGGUGAGAAUGGAUAUUCUUGUCUUGUUCCUGUUUUAGAAGAAAUGCUUUAAGUUUUUUCUUUGUUCAGAAUGAUGUUAGCUUUGUGUUUGUUAUAUGUAGUCCUAAAAUGUUGAGGUAAGUUUUUUCUAUCCCUAUUUUCUCUAGUUUUAAACAUGAAUGGGUGCUAUACUUAAUUCUUCUAAUGCUUUUUCUGUAUCUAUUGAGAUGAUAAUGUGAUUCUUCCAAUUAUUAUUUUGUGGUAAAUUAUGUUGAUUUGCAUAUGUUGAAAUAACCUUGCAUCCCUAGGAUGAAAUCCAUUCUUAACAUAAUUUUUAAAAUUAGUUCUUUAUAAUUUUUUUUGUUUAUACAAGGUUCAGGAUUCAGAAAUUCAUAGUGAUUACUUUAUCUGAAUCAGGAAUUGGGAAUCUAAGAAGAUAUCUAUAAUAAUUUACAAGGAGUAAAAUGUAGGGAAAGGAGAAAUUUAUUAUAGUUAUUUGGCUGGGGAUGUAGCCCAAUGGUAGAGUGCAUGCUUAUUAUGUGCAAGUCCCUUGGUUAAAUUCCUAGCCCCACAAAACAAAUAANAAAAAUGAACAACAAUUGACAAGCCCACCCCUUUGUUCUCUCCAUUUCUUUCUUUUCCUUCUUUUUACCUUGUUUCUUCUAUUAAUUGAUAUUUGCCCUUCCUUCCUUCCUCAAAUGAUUUCUUUAUAAUUUUUCUUUCUUUUGCGCUCUCUCUCCCUUUCUUUCUUUCUUUGCUUCCUUCCUUCCUUCUUACUUAAACCUAGGGCCUCACAAACAUGCUACUACUGAGCUGCACCCCCAAUCCGUCCCUUGUAUUUCAUUGUCAUUAUACCUUCUUGAGUCUCUGAAUUAGUUUUUUUUUUUUUUGUGUGUGUGUGUGUAUUGGGGACUGAACACAGAGGUACUUUUUAAUUUUUUAUUUUGAGACAGGAUCUUGCUAAGUUGCUGAGGCUGGCUUUGAACUUGCAAUCCCCUGCCUCAGCCUCUGGAAACACUGGGAUUAUAGGCAUGAACCAACAUGCCCAGCUGUAUUAGUCUAUUUUCUAUUACAGAAAAAAAUCACUGAGACUGUGUUACUUGUAAAUAAAGGAGGUUUAUUUAGCUCACAAUUCUGGUGGCUGGAGGGUCCAAACAGCAUGGUGCCAGUCUCUUGGCAAGGACCUCCUAGCUAUGUCACAACAUUGUAGAGAAAGGAAAAGGGAACCUUCUGUAAGCACAAGAGAUUACAUGGAAAGAUAGGAAAUCAGAGAUUUUGGGGUCAGAUUUAUCCUUUUUAUAAUAACUUUUAUAAUGAUAAUCUCACAAAAACUGGUCUUUUGUGAGAACUAUGUUAAUAUCUUCUAAGGAUCAUGACCUAACAAUCUCCCAUGAGGUCCCACCUCUUAAAAGUUCCCACCACCUCUCAAUGUUGCCAUACCAGAGAUCAUCUUUCAUUACAUGAGACUUUGAGGAACAUAUUCAAACCAUAUCCCAGUCUGUUACUCUAGCAUUAUAUGGCUUUCCCUCUCUACUUUCUUUCUCUCAUCCCACUGUUUAAUUUCUUUAGUGUCUUUUUGCCCUUAUCAUCUAUACCCCAUCUCAUUCUCUUCCUCUUUCUUUUGACUUUCUCUCUCUUGUUUCUUCUCCCUGCUCCCAACUUGCCACACUUGAAAGAAGGAAUAUAACCUUGCCAAAGAUCUGAAGACAUGACUGUAUAGAAAGGGAAAAUGGAGGCCCCCUUUGUGAGGCCAAAUGGACCAAAAGGUCACUAACAAAACCAAGCCUUAAUGCCUGUAUUGUUUUCAGGACAAUGUGAAAUACGUGUAUGGUGGAUUUUUUGAAGUAUGAUUUUGCUAAGAAAUUUACUUAAUCCAUAGCAAAGAAAUAAGACUAUGAUAGGUGUAAGUUUCUAAGAGUUUAUUUUAUAGUAAAAUAUGCUAUGUCCCAAGAUAAACAAGCAAAUUUUGUUUUUACUGAGCUCAGAAUUCUCUUUUAUGUCCAUGAGAUGGCAGUAGAGCAAAAGAAAAACAUUAAAAGCCUCUAUCUCUUUAUUUCAGAGACUUGGUGAAUUUUCCCACAAAGCUGCAAUGAAGACAGAGGGAGAACAAAAUCUAUAUAAAGAGAAAUUACAAGAAGGUGUGAUAUAACACUCGAACAUAUAUACUCAUUUUGACAAAACGUGUUUGGAGCUGAAUUCUUUCUCUGCAUUUGAGUCUUUAUAAGAUAAAAGUACAUACCUUUAGGGAACUAUUAGGGAACUAUUAACUCUAAAUCCCAAUACAUGAAGUUAAUUUUAAUUGGCAAAAAGUUAAUUUGACAUUAUUAUUAAAAAUAUCUUUUGGGUUUGUUCAUUUUUUUUUCUUUCUUUUCUUCCUUUCUUUUUUACUUGUAGUUCUGGGAAUUGAACCCAGGGCCUUUCUCUUGCUAAUCAUGUAUUUUACUACUGAUUACACUCCAGCCCAAUUUUCAAGUGUCAUUUAAUUGAUUUAUUCAAGAUUAGUUAUGUUUCAGAGGACAUUUGAUUUGAAAAUUGGAAAUCCUGAGAAAGUCAGCUCUUUAGUAGAUUUUUGAAUAGUUUAACAAGAAAUUUAAGGGCAAUUUUCUCAAGAUUCUCAAAAACAAUAACAAAUAAUGACUAUGGGGAGGGAGAUAUAAAGCACAUGUGUAAAACCGUUAACAAUUGGUGUAGUUGGGUGGAAGUCAUGUGGUAUUCGUUGUACUGUUCUUGUAUAUUUUCCAUAGUUUAAAAAUGUUUCAACUAAUAAAUUUUUUUAAAAGUUUCAAAUUAAAAACUAGAAAAGCAAAAAAUGUUAUCACAUAACUUACACAUAAGAGAUUGUGUCAUAACUCAUGCAUAGUAGAUUCAUAGAAGGGAUUAUUAUGCAGCAUAACCACAACUAUAAUAAAUAUACCAAACAUAUCAGUCUAAGAAGUUUUGGAUGAGACCUACUAUUCUAGCAAAUUAAGGCCUAGUCUCUACCAUGGUUGGACCCCAGACUGGUAUUCAUCUAACACAUACUUAAUUAACAAUUACUGAAUAUGAGACUCUUUACAGGGCUUAUAGCAACCAAUAUUGUAGACAAAAUUUCUGCCCUCCUGGAGCUAGGAAAGACAUAAAAAAGCAAAUACCCAUACCAUUGAUUGUGUAAUGGUAAGUACUAGAAAGAAAAUGAAAAUUACUAUUACUUUGAUAGGGUAGUCAGUGUAGGCCGGCCUCUCGAGAGGUGACGUUGGAGUAAAAGCUUGAGCAAACCAGGUGUGGGCUCUGUGCAUCUGGAGAGAAGUUUCUAUGCAAAGACCAUGAGUCAGGUGGAUAAGCAGCCAGUAUGACUUAAUGAAAUGAAGGAUAGGAACCAGCCAGAAGAUGAGACUGGGCAGGUACUAGGGCCAGAUCAUGGUUUGGCCUUAUGAACCAGUAAGUGAACAGACAUUGAGGAGAAAAGAUCUUUAAUAGAAUGUAAUAUUAUCAAAAUCUUUGUUCAGAAAACAGUUUGGUAUUUUCUCAAAAUGUUGAACAUAGAAUUAUCAUAUUACCCAGCAGUUCUACUUCUAGGUAUGUAUUCAAAAUAAUUGAAAGCAGAGUCCCAAAGAGAGAUUUGCAUACCCAUAAUCAGAACAGUAUUAUUCACAAUGGCUGCAAGGUGAAGCAAAUUAAGUGUUCAUUGACAAAUCAAUGAAUAAGCAAAAUGUGAUAUGUACACAUACUUGGAAUAUUAUUGAAUUUUAAGAAGGAAUAAAAUUUUGAUACAUGUUACAACAUGGAUGAAACUUGAAAAGUGUUAUACUAAGUGAAAAAGAAAGAAAAAAUACUGUAUGAUUCUGCUUAUAUGAGAUACUCAGAAUAGACAAAUUCUCAGAGAAGAAAAGUAGAACAGAGGUUACCAGGGUCUAAGGGUGGUGAGUAAUGGGGAGUUAUUUUUUAAUGUGUGUGGAGUUUCUGUUUGGAAUUAUGAAAAAGUUCUGGAAAUGGUUAGUGGUGGUAGUUGCACAAUAUUAUGAAUAUACUGAAUGCCACUGAGCUGUACAAUUAAAAUGGUUAAAAUGGCAAAGUUUAUAUUAUACAUAUUUUAGUACAAUCAAAAAACUUUCUUUAUUUCUUCAUUAUUCCUAUUAUUUACUUUAUCCUCUCAAGUAACUGUUUACAAGGACAAGGACUUUAAGAUAUGGAUACUUUCUAGUAGUAUUUUUUUUUAUAUUGGGAAUUAAACCCAGGGACACUUUACUACUGAACCACGUUCUUAGCCUUUUUUAUUUUUUUGAGACAGGAUCUUGUUA